rnacentral:rRNA from 2 species
AGAGUUUGAUCAUGGCUCAGAUUGAACGCUGGCGGCAGGCCUAACACAUGCAAGUCGAACGGUAACAGGAAGCAGCUUGCUGCUUUGCUGACGAGUGGCGGACGGGUGAGUAAUGUCUGGGAAACUGCCUGAUGGAGGGGGAUAACUACUGGAAACGGUAGCUAAUACCGCAUAACGUCGCAAGACCAAAGAGGGGGACCUUCGGGCCUCUUGCCAUCGGAUGUGCCCAGAUGGGAUUAGCUAGUAGGUGGGGUAAAGGCUCACCUAGGCGACGAUCCCUAGCUGGUCUGAGAGGAUGACCAGCCACACUGGAACUGAGACACGGUCCAGACUCCUACGGGAGGCAGCAGUGGGGAAUAUUGCACAAUGGGCGCAAGCCUGAUGCAGCCAUGCCGCGUGUAUGAAGAAGGCCUUCGGGUUGUAAAGUACUUUCAGCGGGGAGGAAGGGAGUAAAGUUAAUACCUUUGCUCAUUGACGUUACCCGCAGAAGAAGCACCGGCUAACUCCGUGCCAGCAGCCGCGGUAAUACGGAGGGUGCAAGCGUUAAUCGGAAUUACUGGGCGUAAAGCGCACGCAGGCGGUUUGUUAAGUCAGAUGUGAAAUCCCCGGGCUCAACCUGGGAACUGCAUCUGAUACUGGCAAGCUUGAGUCUCGUAGAGGGGGGUAGAAUUCCAGGUGUAGCGGUGAAAUGCGUAGAGAUCUGGAGGAAUACCGGUGGCGAAGGCGGCCCCCUGGACGAAGACUGACGCUCAGGUGCGAAAGCGUGGGGAGCAAACAGGAUUAGAUACCCUGGUAGUCCACGCCGUAAACGAUGUCGACUUGGAGGUUGUGUCCUUGAGGCGUGGCUUCCGGAGCUAACGCGUUAAGUCGACCGCCUGGGGAGUACGGCCGCAAGGUUAAAACUCAAAUGAAUUGACGGGGGCCCGCACAAGCGGUGGAGCAUGUGGUUUAAUUCGAUGCAACGCGAAGAACCUUACCUGGUCUUGACAUCCACGGAAGUUUUCAGAGAUGAGAAUGUGCCUUCGGGAACCGUGAGACAGGUGCUGCAUGGCUGUCGUCAGCUCGUGUUGUGAAAUGUUGGGUUAAGUCCCGCAACGAGCGCAACCCUUAUCCUUUGUUGCCAGCGGUCCGGCC